rnacentral:rRNA from 1 species
AUUGAACGCUGGCGGCAGGCUUAACACAUGCAAGUCGAGCGGGGGAAGGUAGCUUGCUACCGGACCUAGCGGCGGACGGGUGAGUAAUGCUUAGGAAUCUGCCUAUCAGUGGGGGACAACAUCUCGAAAGGGAUGCUAAUACCGCAUACGUCCUACGGGAGAAAGCAGGGGAUCUUCGGACCUCGCGCUAAUAGAUGAGCCUAAGUCGGAUUAGCUAGUUGGUGGGGUAAAGGCCUACCAAGGCGACGAUCUGUAGCGGGUCUGAGAGGAUGAUCCGCCACACUGGGACUGAGACACGGCCCAGACUCCUACGGGAGGCAGCAGUGGGGAAUAUUGGACAAUGGGGGGAACCCUGAUCCAGCCAUGCCGCGUGUGUGAAGAAGGCCUUAUGGUUGUAAAGCACUUUAAGCGAGGAGGAGGCUACUUUAGUUAAUACCUAGAGAUAGUGGACGUUACUCGCAGAAUAAGCACCGGCUAACUCUGUGCCAGCCGCCGCCGUAACAC